rnacentral:rRNA from 1 species
UCCUACGGGUGGCUGCAGGGAGGAAUAUUGGUCAAUGGGGGAAACCCUGAACCAGCAACGCCGCGUGAAGGAAGAAGGCCCUCGGGUUGUAAACUUCUGUUUUCAGGGACGAAGAAAGUGACGGUACCUGAAGAGAAAGCUCCGGCAAACUACGUGCCAGCAGCCGCGGUAAUACGUAGGGAGCGAGCGUUGUCCGGAAUCACUGGGCGUAAAGGGCGCGUAGGCGGUUUUACAAGUUGCAUGUGAAAGACCAUGGCUUAACCAUGGGGUGUCAUGCAAAACUGUAGGGCUUGAGUGCAGUAGAGGAAAGCGGAAUUCCUGGUGUAGCGGUAAAAUGCGUAGAGAUCAGGAGGAACACCGGUGGCGAAGGCGGCUUUCUGGGCUGUAACUGACGCUGAGGCGCGAAAGCGUGGGGAGCGAACAGGAUUAGAUACCCCGGUAGUCAC